rnacentral:rRNA from 1 species
GAUGAACGCUGGCGGCGUGCCUAAUACAUGCAAGUCGAGCGAACAGACGAGGAGCUUGCUCCUCUGACGUUAGCGGCGGACGGGUGAGUAACACGUGGAUAACCUACCUAUAAGACUGGGAUAACUUCGGGAAACCGGAGCUAAUACCGGAUAAUAUAUUGAACCGCAUGGUUCAAUAGUGAAAGACGGUUUUGCUGUCACUUAUAGAUGGAUCCGCGCCGCAUUAGCUAGUUGGUAAGGUAACGGCUUACCAAGGCAACGAUGCGUAGCCGACCUGAGAGGGUGAGAGGCCCCAGUGGACGUGAACCAGGGUCCAGACUCCGAGGGGCAGAACAGGUGGGAAAUCUCCCGAAAUGGGCGAAGUUUGGAGGGAGAACCGCCGGGGGAGUGAAAAGUGUCUUGGUAUAAAAAACUUCUUUUAUGGGGGAGAAAAAAUUGGGAAAGUAACAAUCCACGUCUGGACGGUACCUAAUAAAAAGGCCACGCCAAAUUCCGGC